rnacentral:rRNA from 1 species
UACAGAGGGGGCGAGCGUUGUUCGGAAUUACUGGGCGUAAAGGGCGCGUAGGCGGCCUUCUAAGUCGAACGUGAAAUCCCCGGGCUCAACCCGGGAACUGCGUCCGAUACUGGGAGGCUUGAAUCCGGGAGAGGGAUGUGGAAUUCCAGGUGUAGCGGUGAAAUGCGUAGAUAUCAGGAAGAACACCCGUGGCGAAGGCGGCUCUCUGGGACGGUACUGACGCUGAGACGCGAAAGCGUGGGGAGCGAACAGG